CGGAAUCCCAGCUCCACUUACCAGGCCGCGGCUACCCCGUCGCCCCCGCCACUCCCGCCACCCCGCUCUCCCAGGCUCUUCAGGAUCCAAGUUUGUAGGCCCUUUAAGGGGUCUAGUUGCCCUUUGCGGGGCCCUGGGACUUUGGUCCCAGACAGGGGGGAUCCGGAUGGCUUCCGUGCGGAUCCGAGAGGCCAAGGAGGGAGACUGUGGGGAUAUCCUGAGGUUGAUUCGGGUGAAGACUGUGGGCCGGAAACCAGGGGGUCAGAGUGGCGCGGCCAGGACGGGGACGCAGGAGGCGGGGGCAGGGGAGGGGCUCGCCUUGGGACCCCGCUCGGGGAGCAGCGGGGCCCUUCUGCUCUAAUCUAGCUUCCGUACCCACGCCUUAGGAACUAGCCGAGUUCGAAAAACUCUCGGAUCAGGUGAAGAUCAGUGAGGAAGCCCUGAGAGCAGAUGGCUUUGGAGAGAAUCCUUUCUAUCACUGUUUGGUAGCAGAGAUUCUUCCAGCGCCCGGGGAGCUACUGGGUCAAGGGAUUGGUUCCAAAAUAAUCAAAAAGGUGGCUGAGGUGGCCUUGGAUAAGGGCUGCUCCCAAUUCCGCCUGGCCGUCCUGGACUGGAACCAGAGGGCUAUGGACUUGUACAAGGCCUUAGGAGCCCAAGAUCUGACGGAAGCUGAGGGCUGGCACUUCUUCUGCUUUCAAGGAGAGGCAAUGAGAAAGUUGGCAGGAAAGUGACGCCAUCCCUAGGGGGAUCUCUCUCUUGAGUUUCUCCUUCCCCACCAGCUCAAGCACUCUUCAGAGACUACGUCCACAGAC
rnacentral:sRNA from 1 species